rnacentral:rRNA from 1 species
GAUGAACGCUGACAGAAUGCUUAACACAUGCAAGUCGAUGGGGAAGUGGUGCUUGCACCAUGGUAACCAUGGCGGACGGGUGAGUAACGCGUAAGGAACUUACCUGCGGGACCGGGAUAACAGCAGGAAACUGCUGACAAGACCGGAUAAGGUCAUUAAGCUGCAUAGCUUAGUGAUGAAAGGAGACGCCUGCGGAGAGCCUUGCGUCCUAUUAGCUAGUUGGAGGGGUAACGGCCCACCAAGGCGAAGAUAGGUAGCCGGCCUGAGAGGGUGGGCGGCCACAAGGGGACUGAGAUACGGCCCUUACUCCUACGGGAGGCAGCAGUGGGGAAUAUUGGACAAUGGGGGCAACCCUGAUCCAGCAAUUCUGUGUGCACGAAGACGGUUUUCGGAUUGUAAAGUGCUUUCAGCAGGGAAGAAGGAAGUGACGGUACCUGCAGAAGAAGCGACGGCUAAAUACGUG